rnacentral:tRNA from 1 species
GAAACAAUGGCUGAGUUAGGCAAUAAAUUGUAAAUUUAUUUACGGAAAUAGUUCCUUGUUUCA